rnacentral:lncRNA from 1 species
GUUCCCCGUUUACAUUCCCACUUUUAUAUUCAUAAACAAAUGUCGUUGAUUGUUGUCAUGUCAUAUCACAAUGUUUCCGUCAUUUGAAGAAUGCACUGCUUAUGACAGAUCUUCGAUUAUUUCUAUAUGAUUUAAAUAUAGUUUUUAUAUGGGCUAUAAAAAAAGACUGCUGCUAAACAUGAAGGUCAUUAAUAAGUUAAAU